rnacentral:lncRNA from 1 species
UCCUGAAAUUGAAAGAUCGGUGUCACUCUAUUAUGAUAAUAAUGAGACUGUUAUUCAAGCUAAGGAAUCUAGGUCUCAUCAAAGAUCCAAGCACAUCUUCAGAUGCUUUUACCUCAUUCGAAAAAAUUAUUGAAAGACAAGAUGUUGUCUUUGAACGAGUUGACACAAAGAAUAAUUAGCAGAUCCAUUCACUAAGGCCAU